rnacentral:rRNA from 1 species
AUUGAACGCUGGCGGCAUGCUUUACACAUGCAAGUCGAACGGUAACAGGGUGCUUGCACCGCUGACGAGUGGCGAACGGGUGAGUAAUGCGUCGGAACGUGCCGAGUAGUGGGGGAUAACGCAGCGAAAGUUGUGCUAAUACCGCAUACGUACUGAGGUAGAAAGUGGGGGACCUUCGGGCCUCACGCUAUUCGAGCGGCCGACGUCUGAUUAGCUAGUAGGUGAGGUAAAGGCUCACCUAGGCGACGAUCAGUAGCGGGUCUGAGAGGAUGAUCCGCCACACUGGGACUGAGACACGGCCCAGACUCCUACGGGAGGCAGCAGUGGGGAAUUUUGGACAAUGGGCGAAAGCCUGAUCCAGCCAUGCCGCGUGCCUGAAGAAGGCCUUCGGGUUGUAAAGGACUUUUGUCAGGGAGGAAAUCCCUAGUGCUAAUACCGCUGGGGGAUGACAGUACCUGAAGAAUAAGCACCGGCUAACUACGUGCCAGCCGCCGCGGUAAAAC